rnacentral:rRNA from 1 species
UACAGAGGGCGCGAGCGUUGUCCGGAAUUACUGGGCGUAAAGGGCUCGUAGGUGGCCAACUAAGUCAGACGUGAAAUCCCCGAGCUCAACUCGGGAACUGCGUCCGAUACUGGCGGGCUUGAAUCCGGGAGAGGGAUGCGGAAUUCCAGGUGUAGCGGUGAAAUGCGUAGAUAUCUGGAGGAACACCGGUGGCGAAGGCGGCAUCCUGGACCGGCAUUGACGCUGAGGCGCGAAAGCUAGGGGAGCAAACGGG